rnacentral:rRNA from 1 species
AACGAACGCUGGCGGCAUGCCUAACACAUGCAAGUCGAACGAAACCUUCGGGGCUAGUGGCGCACGGGUGCGUAACGCGUGGGAACCUGCCCUUAGGUUCGGAAUAACUCCCCGAAAGGGGUGCUAAUACCGGAUAAUGUCUUCGGACCAAAGAUUUAUCGCCAUGGGAUGGGCCCGCGUUGGAUUAGGUAGUUGGUAGGGUAAAAGCCUACCAAGGCGACGAUCCAUAGCUGGUCUGAGAGGAUGAUCAGCCACACUGGGACUGAGACACGGCCCAGACUCCUACGGGAGGCAGCAGUGGGGAAUAUUGGACAAUGGGCGAAAGCCUGAUCCAGCAAUGCCGCGUGAGUGAUGAAGGCCUUAGGGUUGUAAAGCUCUUUUACCCGGGAUGAUAAUGACAGUACCGGGAGAAUAAGCUCCGGCUAACUCCGUG